GAUUUCUGGCGAACCGUUGCGGCCCGUGCUCGUUUCGGGCGUGUGUGCCGUGUCGUGUUUGUGAUCCUUCCAGAGAGCUGCGUCUACCAUUCACUGCCGGACGUACGUGAUCUGGAUCGACUACUUUGAAAAAAUUAGAGUGAAUACAUUAGCAUAAUAAUAAUUUAGGACUUCGGUUCUAUUUCGGACUGAAGUGGUGAUUGAUAGGGACAGUUGGGGGUGCUAGUAUUCCGCGGCCAGAGGUGAAAUUCUUGGAUUCGCGGAAGCUAACUACUAU
rnacentral:rRNA from 1 species